rnacentral:rRNA from 1 species
AUUGAACGCUGGCGGCAUGCCUUACACAUGCAAGUCGAACGGCAGCAUGAUCUCGCUUGCUAGAUUGAUGGCGAGUGGCGAACGGGUGAGUAAUACAUCGGAACGUGCCCUGUAGUGGGGGAUAACUAGUCGAAAGAUUAGCUAAUACCGCAUACGACCUGAGGGUGAAAGUGGGGGACCGCAAGGCCUCAUGCUAUAGGAGCGGCCGAUGUCUGAUUAGCUAGUUGGUGAGGUAAAGGCUCACCAAGGCGACGAUCAGUAGCUGGUCUGAGAGGACGAUCAGCCACACUGGGACUGAGACACGGCCCAGACUCCUACGGGAGGCAGCAGUGGGGAAUUUUGGACAAUGGGCGAAAGCCUGAUCCAGCAAUGCCGCGUGUGUGAAGAAGGCCUUCGGGUUGUAAAGCACUUUUGUCCGGAAAGAAAUGGCUCUGGUUAAUACCUGGGGUCGAUGACGGUACCGGAAGAAUAAGUACCGGCUAACUACGUG